rnacentral:rRNA from 1 species
UACGUAGGUGGCAAGCGUUGUCCGGAUUUAUUGGGCUUAAAGGGUGCGUAGGCGGUCUUUUAAGUCAGUGCUGAAAUACUCCAGCUUAACUGGAGGGGUGGCAUUGAUACUGGAAGACUUGAGUGUAGUCGAGGUAGGCGGAAUUGACGGUGUAGCGGUGAAAUGCUUAGAUAUCGUCAAGAACACCGAUAGCGAAGACAGCUUACUAGGCUACAACUGACGCUGAGGCACGAAAGUGUGGGGAUCAAACAGG